rnacentral:misc_RNA from 1 species
UUACCUGCAUGGUAUCUUUCAUUCCCGUAAUAACGUAACCAAACACAAAUAUAAUCAAACUCUAAAAAUUAAAAAAUAAUAAAAACACGCACACAUAUUCCACGUCUGUUACAUAUAUUACUACAAACAUAUUACCAAAUUUCAACAUCAGUCCAUGGCGAUGUCUAGCAAGCUUUAAGUGGUUUUCCGCAGAGGCAAUCAUUAUAAGCAAACGAUGACGCUUCAAGAUGAUCGAACGGAGAGCCUAGUGGAAUUUUCCCACAUAGGUGGUUGUGACUGAGAUCCAAGUGUCCGAUAUACGAUGCCGUCGAUAAAGAUUUCGGUAUUGACCCUCGAAAAUUAUUAUACGAUAAAUCAAGAACCGUAAAGUAGGAGCCCGCACUAAAAACAUCCGGCAAAUAUCCCUCGAAUGCGUUCUUGCUCAAAUUUAAAUUGCUAAUACCGGAAUUAAACAAGCUUGCCGGUAUAAGCCCUGAAAGUUUGUUAGCGUCCAAAUUUAGUGUUGCUAAUACCGCCAUUCUACCUAGAGAAGGAGGUAUAGCACCUGAUAGUCUAUUCAAUGAAAGAUCCAGAUCAGCAAGACGGUAAAUUUUCGAAAUAGAACUCGGUAUUGACCCGCUAAUAUAAUUGUGGCUGAGCAAAGCGCGGCUCAACAUCCUCAGACGUCCGAAAUUUCGAGGAAGUGGACCUGAGAUUCGGUUGCCACGCAAAUCCAGGUGCAUCAAUCUAGAAAGAUUCGUCAAAGAACGAGGGAUCUCACCGGAUAUAAGAUUAUCGGCGACAUUCAGCACGGUUAAUCUCUGUAACCGUCCUAUGUCAGCAGGAAGAUCACCGGAAAGCCGAUUCCCGAUUAAAUCAAGAAUCCGUAGAAAAGGAAGUGAAGUGAUGCAGCGGGGGAUCUCCCCGGAGAUCCCUUUCCAAUCUGCUAUUGUGAGACUCGAAAGGCGCUCUAGCUUACAGAUGGAAGGAGAGAUUGUACCGGUCAUGUAACCGGAUCUGCCAGCUUUUCCAAAGAUGGGGUCUUCGGACUCACCUCGGAGGUUUAUAUCCGCAACCCGGUGGGUCUCUGGGUCGCAGCUGACGCCGUACCAAUCAUGGCAGCAAUCGGUGCCGGUCCAAGAAUUGAAGAUGCCCAAAUAAGGCUCG